rnacentral:rRNA from 1 species
UACGGAGGGUGCAAGCGUUAAUCGGAAUUACUGGGCGUAAAGCGCGCGUAGGCGGCUAGAUAAGUCGGAUGUGAAAGCCCCGGGCUCAACCUGGGAACUGCAUUCGAUACUGUUUGGCUAGAGUAUGAGAGAGGGAGGUAGAAUUCCACGUGUAGCGGUGAAAUGCGUAGAUAUGUGGAGGAAUACCGGUGGCGAAGGUGGCUCACUGGCCCGUAACUGACGCUCAGGCGCGAUAGCGUGGGGAUCAAACAGG